rnacentral:lncRNA from 1 species
GCUUUUGCAGAUUCUGUUGCUUGCAUGUAACUUGGGAGAGAACUGCUACUACCGCUAUCUCUAGGCUCCUGCUGUUCAACUUGUCCAGCUUUUGCUGAACCGAAAGAAUUCCGUCGCUUCCCAUUUUUGUGAUCCUUAGGUAAUUGUUCCGAACUAGUUGUACCUGAACCAUGGAUUGGUUUUGAAGGAGACUUUUUGCCAGCAGAUGAGGAAUGACGCUUGGGAUUUGAUCCAAUUUUUUCACUUUUGAUCUUCUUAGGAUUCACUGACACAAAAGAAUUCCGUCGCUUCCCAUUUUUAUGAUCCUUAGGUAAUUGUUCCGAACUAGCUGUAACUGAACCAUGGAUUGGUUUCGAAGGAGACUUUUUGCCAGCAGAUGAGGAAUGGCGCUUGAUAUUUGAUCCACUCUUUUCACUUUUGAUCUUCUUAGGAUUCACAGACACCUGACUA